GCUCGAUUAAAAACUAUUUGAGUUCAGUUCUUUUGAUAAACAAAUUAAAUUCAAAUGUAUUUUUAAAAUUCGUUAAAUUUUUAAAUCAAUUUUGAACAAUUUACUGUUUUGUUUAUCAACCCUAUUUGCUACGAACGUAGAAUUUAUAGACGUAACUUCCCGUGGUCUAUAAUUUGUUCGGUUCAUUUAUUAGUCGCAGUUGCUGUUAAGUAGCCUUUAUAGACUUAACCUAUGAUCUAUGGACAAUAAUGCUAUUGAAUUAUUUUUUUUAGCUAUUGAAAUUA
rnacentral:lncRNA from 1 species